GUUCCUAACAGGCCAUGGACCAGUACCUGUCUGUGGCCCGGGGGUUGGGGACCCCUGCUCUAAAGCAUAGUAGACACUGAAUAAAUACUUAUGAAAGUGGGCCAGGCAUGGUGGCUCACAUUUAUAAUCCCGAUACUUUGGGAAGCUGAUGCAGAAGGAUCUCUUGAGGCCAGGAGUUCGAGGCCAGGAGUUCAAAACCAGCCUGGGCAACAUAGUAAGACCCCACCGCUACAAAAAAUAAAAAAAAAUUAGCUGGGCAUGGUGCCAUAUAUCUAUAAUUCCAGCUACUCAAGAGGCUGAGGUGGGAAGAUUGCUUGAGCACAGAAGAUCAAGGCUGCAUUGAGCCAUGAUCACACCACUGUGCUUCAGCCUGAGUGAUAGAGACCCUGUCUGAAAAAAUAAAAAAUUGUGAAAGGGGAAGAAAAUAGGAAGAUAGCUGGGCAUAAGAUACAUGCCAGUGUGUUUUGUGUAAGCAAGUAUUUUUCUUCCUAGAAGCCCUUGCAUGCUGUCAGGCCUUUCAG
rnacentral:lncRNA from 1 species